CUUGCAAAUGGCAAAACGAUGUUGCUGUUUAUUAAAAAAACCAAUAGCGCUCUCAAAAUUUGGAUGGAAAAACGAUGUUGCAGGGGUGAUGAUGAUGAAAAAAUCACUCCCACAUCUCCCCCAGGGCCUGGGCAGAGCAAGGAGGAACUCACCUGAUCCUUCCACAGGUGAUGUGCCAAAGAACAAUGUGUACACCAGGCUAUUAGCACUCUGUGCACGGUGAAACACCCCCAACCAAGGCCAAGCCAAUUUUGAAGCACUCUGCAGAGAUCUGCCUGGGAGGAAAAGCAGAGCCAACCACUGAAAACUGAUAUCUGAGCUCUGGUGAGGACUGCUGCUCUCGGUGUGGGAACUCCUGAGCUUCCAUUCCCUGUGGUGGGAGUAUUUCUCCUUUCAUCCAGCCAACACAGAGACCUCCUAGCCCACAGGUUCUGCCCUUUUCUGUCUCUCCACCCAUCCCACUGGGAGUGGGGAGUGAGGGGAGCAAGAGACCGCAUGGGACGGCAUCCAGAGAUACCUGGCAACCUCAAGCACGACUGGCACGGUUUUGCAAAGCUCCUGGCACGUUUUUGUGGAAUUCUCCAGGUUAUUUGCUUCAUUCAGGAAACUUCUGGACAAGUUAGGUAGUUUUGCUUUACACAGGAGACCAAAUUUGGUGUCCAGGUGAAUGUCUGUUGAAUUGUGAAUUUCACAUCUCCUCAUCUGUGGUUCCAGCCAUGCCACGAAGACCCUCCUGAGCCUAGAAGGUGCACAUGGAUUGGUGAUUCCUGCCCUGCUCUUGCUGGUUGGAGCUUCCAGCUUUCCAUGGUGAUUUCAACCCCUUGUGCAUGAGUGCAUGAGGAAAAUGUACCUUGGUUCACACAGCGGAGAUCUUUGAUUUUACCUCUAGUUUAGUAUAAUCUUUAGCUGCAGACUGACAGAAAAACGAAAAUAAAACUGCCGGCUUCAAAUUAUGGGAGAGUCAUGUCAGAGAAAGCUUUUUACCCACAACAAAACAACAGCAGAUGACACAGAAUCUUCAAAGACACCAAGAGAAUCCAGUGCAUUUUCUCUACUGGUUCAUGGUGGAUGUUUGGAAUCUC